GACGAACGCUGGCGGCGUGCUUAACACAUGCAAGUCGAACGGAAAGGCCCUGCUUUUGUGGGGUGCUUGAGUGGCGAACGGGUGAGUAACACGUGAGUAACCUGCCCUUGACUUUGGGAUAACUUCAGGAAACUGGGGCUAAUACCGGAUAGGAGCUCCUGCUGCAUGGUGGGGGUUGGAAAGUUUCGGCGGUUGGGAAUGGACUCGCGGCUUAUCAGCUUGUUGGUGGGGUAGUGGCUUACCAAGGCUUUGACGGGUAGCCGGCCUGAGAGGGUGACCGGCCACAUUGGGACUGAGAUACGGCCCAGACUCCUACGGGAGGCAGCAGUGGGGAAUAUUGCACAAUGGGCGGAAGCCUGAUGUAGCAACGCCGCGUGCGGGAUGACGGCCUUCGGGUUGUAAACCGCUUUCGCCUGUGACGAAGCGUGAGUGACGGUAAUGGGUAAAGAAGCACCGGCUAACUACGUG
rnacentral:rRNA from 1 species